rnacentral:ncRNA from 2 species
GUAUAAUGCGCGCCUUCAGGUGCCGACGCGGCUUUCCGCCGCCGAGGAUAAACGGGAAACAGGUGCGCAAUUUUUCGCAAAGCCUGUGCUGCCCCCGCAACGGUCAGCGCUAAACGGUCCAUCACACAGCCACUGGGUUCGCCCGGGAAGGCGAUGCACUUCAGGCGCGAGCCCGGAUACCGGCCUGGACCCUGCAUGGCGA